rnacentral:rRNA from 1 species
AAAUUUGGAAAUACUGGCGCCUUCGGUGUCCGAGUUGUAAUUUGAAGAAGGUAACUUUGGUUUUGGCUCUUGUCUAUGUUCCUUGGAACAGGACGUCACAGAGGGUGAGAAUCCCGUGCGAUGAGAUGCCCAAUUCCAUGUAAAGUGCUUUCGAAGAGUCGAGUUGUUUGGGAAUGCAGCUCUAAGUGGGUGGUAAAUUCCAUCUAAAGCUAAAUAUUGGCGAGAGACCGAUAGCGAACAAGUACAGUGAUGGAAAGAUGAAAAGAACUUUGAAAAGAGAGUGAAAAAGUACGUGAAAUUGUUGAAAGGGAAGGGUUUGAGAUCAGACUUGGUAUUUUGUAUGUUUUACUCUCGGGUGAGGCCUCUGCAGUUUACUGGGCCAGCAUCAGUUUGGAUGGUAGGAUAAUGACAUUGGAAUGUGGC